rnacentral:rRNA from 1 species
CCUACGGGAGGCAGCAGUGAGGAAUAUUGGUCAAUGGGCGAGAGCCUGAACCAGCCAAGCAGCGUGAAGGAUGACUGCCCUAGGGGUUGAAAGCUUUUUUCUUAAGGGAAUAAAGUGAGGCAGUUGUGCCUUAUUGUAUGUACUUUAUGUACAAGGAUCGGCUAACUUCGUGCCAGCAGCCGCGGUAAUACGGAGGAUCCGAGCGUUAUCCGGAUUGAUUGGGUUUAAUGGGAGCGUAGGUGGGUUGUUAAGUCAGUUGUGAAAGUUUGCGGCUCAACCGUAAAAUUGCAAUUGAUACUGGCAGCCUUGAGUACAGGUGAGGUAGGCGGAAUUCGUGGUGUAGCGGUGAAAUGCUUAGAUAUCACGAAGAACUCCGAUUGCGAAGGCAGCUUACUAGACUGCCACUGACAUUGAUGCUCGAAAGUGUGGGUAUCAAACAGGAUUAGAUACCCCUGUAGUC